AAUUUCGAGCAUUUGGCGCCUGAAGCUUUCAGUUUUGAAGAGAGUUGUUCGUGGCAUGGCGAGCACUUUAUAGUUAAAGCGAUGGUUAUAAGUUAAAAAUCAGCUUUGCAAAGCUCCAGGGACUUUGCGCGAUGGCCACCAGCAAAAUUGUGAAUGGUAUCGCAAGCCAGGCGGCCGAGGCGAAAAAGAGAAUGACGAAAGAGGACGACGAAGGCAAACUCUUCGUGGGCGGACUCAGCUAUGAAACCACUAAAGAAACUUUGACGGAUUAUUUUAAUACUUUUGGUGAAGUUGUCGGUGUUGAAAUAAAAAUGGAUGCAUUGACGGGUCGCUCAAGAGGGUUCGCAUUUGUACAAUUUAAGGAUCCGAAACAAGCAAACGCGGUCUUGCAGCAUGGAGGUCCACAUUUAUUAGAUGGGAAAACAGUUGAUCCCAAGCCAGCAGCACCUAUAAAUAAGCCACCUCAUUUGAGAGUAAAGAAAAUAUUUGUGGGAGGACUAAAACCAGAGACCACUGAUCAACAGAUUAGAGACUAUUUUGGAUCGACUUAUGCAUCGGUUAGAGACAUAGAAUAUGUCACAGAACACUUAACCCAGAAGAGACGAGGUUUCUGUUUUGUUUCCUUUGAUUCAGAAGACACAGUAGACAAGAUUUGUGAAUUACAGUUCCAUCAUAUUGAUGGUAAUAAGGUUGAAGUAAAAAGAGCUCUUCCGAAAGAAGUUCAACAGCAGCAAGCUGCACUUCGUGCUGCAGUGGCAGGGAGAGGAAUGAUCCCAGCAAUUGCCACAGCUUUUGGAGUUGUGCCUGGAAGAGGAAGACCAGCUGCAGGUAUAAGCAGAGGUCCAUUCCGUGCUGGUACGGCGGCUGGAACUGCUGGGCUUAGUCUCACAGCCGCUGCUGCUGCUUAUAACCCUACAUAUGCUGCAGCUGCCCUUUAUGGAGCACUUGGCACAGGUGCAGCCUAUGACACUGUCUACCCUACUUCCUAUGGUGGUAUACCUGGCUACCCAGGGUACUCCCCUGCAACGUUUCCCACUGCAGCCACAGGGUACCCCAGUGGGUAUGAAUUACAUCUCGGAGCCAGCAGAGAUGCACGAUAUCCAGGCAUGUGUAUGCCAGAUAGGGAUCACAGAGGUGCAAUUAGAAAAGAUUUAUUUAUCGGGUCGUCAUCCAACCUUUAAGUUUCCCAGAGAAGUACAGCUGUAUGUAUACUCCAACCAACAGCACUCAGCAUGAAUGCUGUAUUUAUUCAUGAAUUUUAUUGAGAGCCAGGAGGUCGACAUUUUCAUACAGAGUCUUAUAUUUUCUAUAAAGUGAAUUGAAUUUGUCAAGGUCAUUAUUUAAUGUACAUUCAUCAGUAUUUGUUGGUUAGCUUGGGUUAUUUCAGUGCACACCAGGGGCUACGUGAGCAUGUACCAAGGCCUUACCUGUUAGUGUGUAAUUUAUGUUUGCCAGAUGUUCUUUUGGUUUGGUUUUUUUGGACCAUAUAUUUCUUUGUUUUUUUAAUUUUAGUUUAGCUGUUAGAAUUUUUCUUAGUUUCUUAUGAGUUAUAAGGAUCAUCAGGGUUUUGUUUCCUUAGAAGUGAGUACAGACGGUAUUGAGAUCAGUAAAAAUUAUUUGGAUCUGACAUUGAAGAACAAAUGAAACUUAAACAUAACUCCAACAUCUGAGUCAUGAAAUUCUUGCAUCCCAAAGUUGAAGUGAUGAUACCCCCCCCCCCCCCUAGAAAGUAUAGCUUUGAGUUUUGCAAAUGUUUCUUUUUUGUGUUGCAAUUAAGGCAAUAACAAAUGAAUGUGUAAUAGGGAUAGUCUACAUGGUACAAAUUGAAAGAAAGUACUGAUAAAUGUAAUGAAGAAUACAUCCUGUUAGGCCACUUGCAUCCUGUUGGGCCAUACCAGGCCAGACUAGAAACCAGUCUGUCCUGGUAUGCGGAACAAAUUUAGGCAGUCAAUCCAUAUGGGAAAGCUCCCUCUGGCUGCUUAGCCUAGAUUCUAGCCUGGUGGGAAGUUUCCAUUUGGUUACCAAUGUCAACAAGGGGCAACCUUGCAAGUUUAUCCCAGUAACCAGGCCGGAAUGUGCAUAUAAAAAUUUUCCAGCCCAGCACCUGAGACCUUGGUCAAAAACUAGUCAUUUUCCUCAAAUGAACAUCUGAAUUUGGCAAAGUGAAGAUUAUCUCAUAUACAGUACCAACAUGUAUACACAAGCCCCAUCUGUUUUCCUCAUGUGAAGAGGCCCUCAGAGCUGGUAUGUAAAUUGGUUGGAUAAACUGACUUCCACAUAGCUAGAGGACUGUCUUGUUCAUGUUUUGGUAUUGGAAGUAGUAAAUCAGUGGUCAAUGAAGCAUUUUCAUGAGAAUUACAAGUAUUGUUUUUUUUGCAUACAAGAUUUGUAACUAUUUUUUGAUUUGAAAUAGAUUUCCAUUUUUCCAAUUUUUUUUCUUGUUUUGCUCCUUUUGUGCCAGAUUCAUUUGUGUCUGACAUUCAAAGAAUGAAUCUGUAAAUGUAACUUUCCUUGGGUAACACUCUUCUUCAAACCCAAACUUUUUUGGACUUCUUGAUAAUGAGGUAAUUGCAAGAUUGUAAAGACUUGCAUUCUGGAGGGGAUAUUAGCUAGGAAAAGUUAGGAUUUAGGGCAAUUCACAUAGAGAGAGAACCACCAUGCAUAAAAGUCCUGUAAGCUUUCACCUUUCACCUUUCAAACAAUACGUGCAAAUGGCUCCCAAUCUUUAUGUCUAGAAACAAGCUGUGAAGAACUGCAUCUUGUAUAUCAGAUUGAGUCUUUCCACACGAAAUGAGCCAAAGAAGCAAACAAAGAUUGUGUUUGUAGUGGAAGAUAUUAUGUUUGGUUCUUAAGUGCCUAACAGGUGCUUUUAGUUGUGCAUUAUGGCUUUGCAAAACAGCAGUUAACAAAUUACAAGAUCAUUGUUUCUCAAUUUAUUUCCAGAAAAGGUAACUUGUAGGCUUUUACUUUCAUUGUCUAUCAGCACAAGUUUUCUUGGCAUGGGUCUAAACAUAUGAAUUGUGGGCCAUUUAGUACCAAAAUUAUCAGGAGAAAAAGUGUGUGCUGUGAACUUUAAGGAAGAUUUAAUGUUUGGCCAGCUACAGAGUUGAUUAGUGUAUAAUCUACAAAAAUGUACAAAUCACAUAUUUUUCAACACAAGAAGGGUUUGUAGUCAUUGGCUGAAGACAAAAUGCUAUCCAUUCAUUGUGCACAUAUUGUUUUAACAUCAGCAGUCAUUGGUCAACAAAUGAGCUCUUGUUUUACCCUUGCAGUGUUGACCUCAAUUUAUCAUGCAACAUAACUGGUCUCUCCACCAGUUGCUUUUUCAAUUAAAGGUGGAGGUAAGGAGGUGCUUUCCUUAAAACAGGUCUGUUCAACCGGGAGAAUGGGUUCUUUUUGGUGUAUAUGAAAAGAAAGUCCACCCCUUGUGUCAGGUUUGUGCAAUUCUGUAUUUAUUAUGGCCCAAAGAAUGGUGACACUGUAUGCACCAUGAUUGUUAAUAUUUUGUAAACUCUUGCACAUUGUGUUGCACACAUUUGACAAAGGGGCAAAGAAAACUGAUAAGUCAUACCCAAAGGAUAGGUUCCCUUCCCCCAGCAUCAGUUUUGUUAGAUCUCUGAAUCCAGGAGUUCUAUUAAGAUACAAGAUUAUCCAAGCAAGGUGUUCUGACAAACUGAGAACAUCCUUUCAUUUUAUUAGUGGAAGAAGGAAAGAACUUUUGCAUUAGCUUAGGUUAGGACUGCAAGGGUAAAGUUAAGACGGAAAGAUAAUGUACGUAUACAAGUCUUGCAAAGCAAGAGGGUGUUCUGUGUUGAAUCAUGCACAGUUUUUGUAAUAUUUUCCCAAAGAUAUUGAGAUUACCCUUGCGUGUAUAUUUUCUUAGUAUUGUGUUGUGUUCAUGAAGUUCAUUCUAGCUUUUAAUCAAAAAUGAUACCUUUAUUUUCCUUUGGAAAAGUGACUGAUCUAUUACCUUGUACAGACAAUGAGAUGUGUUUGGAUUAUAUGCUGAAAGAAAAGUUAGGAAGUUUUUAUUUCCAAGUGAACCAUUGAUUUAAUUUUAUUUGAUAUUUUUGUGAAUAUUGCAUGUGACAAGUGGAGACAAAGUUGUCAGGAAAAACUUCUGAUACAUUAAUCACAAAGUUGGCCUCCUUAUAGUGAAUCAAAAAAGAUAUUCUGACAGUACACUCUAAGUGGUGGAUGCUACUGUUCCUUUCACUCAUGCUUAUUCAUCGAGUUUGAAAAGCACUGUACCUUUUUAUUUCUAUUUGUUUGGUCUUGGUUUAUCUUUGCUAUGAUUUUUUUUCUUGGUCUUGAUUGUGUCUUAAAGAAAAACUUGAUAUAUAUUGUACUAUCAGAGGCCCAAAGUAUCAUCAGAACGUUUUUUAGACCAUUCACUGUAAAGGAUAAGCUGCAAACCCUUUAAAUUCCAAGAUCUCACUGUGAAUUUUCCUUACAGUCUGCCCUGUUAUUUUUUUAGUAUUGUCUCCUCUGAAAGUUUGGUUCAACCAGGUGAUGUAUUUAGUUUCUCCAAUCACCUUCAGGAAUCUUCAGCAAAGUAUUUUUUUUAGGAGCAAUUAUAUAUUGGUCACUUCCGUGUUGAGAAGGGUUAACCUUUAAACUUUUAAAAGCAGCCAUAUUUUAUUUUAUUUUUUCAACAAUUUAAAAACACCGGUCAACCAGUUUUGUAAUACAUCAGGUGAUAAUGUUUGGUUGGUCAUUGGUCAUUUGUAAGGAGAUGUAGCCCCCAGGUCUUGGGAAUUGAAGGGUUAAAAAGAAUUAUCAGUUCAAACCAGGGGGUAUGAAGUCACUACAAAACAAAGGAGAGAGGUGUCACUGUAUGUGAAAAAUGUACAAGCUGUGGUAUAUGAUGCAACUUCACUGCCAUAAUUGUUAAUCAUCUUUACAUGAUAUUACCUCUUAAGAAUGAGAAUUUAGUAUUUGUUGAUAAUGGUAAAUUUUUGUAGCUUGUAGUUGUACUUUUUAAGAGCAUAGAUAAUACUGCUCAAUCAGAAUCCUCUUUUAAGUUCAUAAUUAACUUCAGAGUCAACUCUUUCAAUGCUUCAGUGGCUGUUUUGUACAGUUAAUGUCUUCUUUCUCUGAGUUAUUGAUCUGACGAUGUUAACUAACUUUAAUGAUAAUCAAGUUUCCAUUUAUAGAUUUGUAUAUUUAGACUAAUAAAAUGCAUGUUUUACUGUUUAGAUUGCACUAAAUCCCAAUUAACUAUAUGUAGAAGUAAUACCCACUGUUAGAUGUAAAAUGUUAGAUCUCAGAACUUCAUUGUUUUGCAAAGAAAAGGAAAGAUGGAAACAGAUCUUUCGGCUUUGUAGAAUUGUUAGGCAAAGUUGGAAGGAGGUUGCUAGAUGCGAAACUAUUACAUAGGUGAUUAAUAUGCAACUAACUGGUCAUUGUUAAGCUUUAUAAUAUGUGGUAUAUGCAUCAAAUUAACAAGCUCUAGUCUUUAAUUUUUUAAAAUAUUUGGUAGUGUGCUUUAUUGUCCUUAAAUUCAUUUAAAGAAAAUAACUGUUUCCUCUGCAUUCUAUGUGACUUGUCAAUGCAAGUAGAGGUUUCUAAAGAUUGUGUAAAAGAAAUUUCUUUGUAGUAACGAAUAAUUAUUCUUUGGUAAUGUUAUUAUACACAUAUAUGUAUGUUAAUCUGAGGAGUAGCCAUUGAGGAGUUUUUAUCCAUUAUACUUAAAAUGUAGUGAAAAAAUUCUAUGGGCACUGUUUUAAAACCUGUCAUAAUAUCCGAAUGCAUUCUUAAAAUCAAUUUUAUGGCACAAUUUUGUUGAACUAGUUGAUUCUAAGGGAACUGUGUUAGUGUUGCCAAAUAAUGCUGGGCAGCGUUUUCUUCUAAGUCGCUGACCCUUCAUCACGUGACAGAUGCGAGUGAUCUGAUUGGCUCCUUCCCGCAGCAGGGAAGUGGUGUCGUGGACACAGAUGACAGUGGUGGCACUUCCUUGAGCACUUUUCGAUGAUAUUAAAGAAGGGUGCCAGAUGGUCGCCCCAGUGCCUUUGGACCAAUAAUGUCAUACACCAGAACAACCUUCCAUCCUUACGGUCGUUAGCAAAAAUGUGUGACUAUGGCGUGACAAGUUUUCGUCACGCAAUUCAUUUAAUGGGUUGCUGAAAGUAACGCACAAGAAUUAGAAUACAAGAAAUGGAGAUGGUAGUUUUUUUCUCUUCACACAGUGUGAGAAAGCACGCCAACAGCAACGCCUUCAAAUGAGAAGCUCACUUUUACCAUUUAAAUGUUGAUAUUGAAACAUUUUAGUCACGUAAGAAAAAGUUGCACUCCAUAAAUACUCAUCACUGAGGUUCGAUAUUGAUAACUAUAUGUUAUGGGCCCAAAGGCAAGCUCUGAUGUAUGGACAUUUUGUGGUAGCUACAACCCCAGGUUAAAAAAUGUAAACAGUAGGUCUAGUUUUUUUCCCCUCAAAGGGCCCCAGAAAUGUUUUAGGUGAAUAUUGUCUAUAUUUUGUUUGUAACUUGUAUAGUAUUUAUAUCCAUGUACAUUGUUUGAGUUUUUUCCUGUCAACACCAGCCUAAAUGGUGUCGUGGAGCCGCUGUUUUGAUCUGUAGUGUCACAAAGUGACAAAAUGUUACUUCGUUGUAAUGAAAAAUAGAUACAUUUGAAUCGCCUGAAAGAUCACUUCCUUUUGUGUUUUAGCAGCGAUUUUGUACUGAUAAAGUAGCGUAGUGUACUUGGGAAUUAAGUCAAACUGGACACUGCAAAGUAAUUUAGAACUAUAACUAGGAAGAACUCUGUUGUCGUAUCGCAGAAUAAUCUUUGUUAGGUUGUUGUUUUUAAUACACUUCUGUUCAUAUGCUGUUCUUCAAGAACAUUAAACUUGUCGACUUGCUUUA